CCCUAACCAGGUGUUCUACUCUGCUAGCCAGCACCUCCCCUAACCAGGUGUUCUACUCUGCUAGCCAGCACCUCCCCUAACCAGGUGUUCUACUCUGCUAGCCAGCACCUCCCCUAACCAGGUGUUCUACUCCGCUAGCCAGCACCUCCCCUAACCAGGUGUUCUACUCUGCUAGCCAGCACCUCCCCUAACCAGGUGUUCUACUCUGCUAGCCAGUACCUCCCCUAACCAGGUGUUCUACUCUGCUAGCCAGUACCUCCCCUAACCAGGUGUUCUACUCUGCUAGCCAGUACCUCCCCUAACCAGGUGUUCUACUCUGCUAGCCAGUACCUCCCCUAACCAGGUGUUCUACUCUGCUAGCCAGCACCUCCCCUAACCAGGUGUUCUACUCUGCUAGCCAGUACCUCCCCUAACCAGGUGUUCUACUCCGCUAGCCCAGUACCUCCCCUAACCAGGUGUUCUACUCUGCUAGCCCAGCACCUCCCCCUAACCAGGUGUUCUACUCCGCUAGCCCAGUACCUCCCCUAACCAGGUGUUCUACUCCGCUAGCCCAGUACCUCCCCUAACCAGGUGUUCUACUCUGCUAGCCCAGUACCUCCCCUAACCAGGUGUUCUACUCUGCUAUCCCAGCACCUCUCCCUAACCAGGUGUUCU